GGGAUGCCAGCUACACAUGCAGUCGAGCGGAACGAGUUAUCUGAACCUUCGGGGGACGAUAACGGCGUCGAGCGGCGGACGGGUGAGUAAUGCCUAGGAAAUUGCCCUGAUGUGGGGGAUAACCAUUGGAAACGAUGGCUAAUACCGCAUGAUGCCUACGGGCCAAAGAGGGGGACCUUCGGGCCUCUCGCGUCAGGAUAUGCCUAGGUGGGAUUAGCUAGUUGGUGAGGUAAGGGCUCACCAAGGCGACGAUCCCUAGCUGGUCUGAGAGGAUGAUCAGCCACACUGGAACUGAGACACGGUCCAGACUCCUACGGGAGGCAGCAGUGGGGAAUAUUGCACAAUGGGCGCAAGCCUGAUGCAGCCAUGCCGCGUGUGUGAAGAAGGCCUUCGGGUUGUAAAGCACUUUCAGUCGUGAGGAAGGUAGUGUAGUUAAUAGCUGCAUUAUUUGACGUUAGCGACAGAAGAAGCACCGGCUAACUCCGUGCCAGCAGCCGCGGUAAUACGGAGGGUGCGAGCGUUAAUCGGAAUUACUGGGCGUAAAGCGCAUGCAGGUGGUUUGUUAAGUCAGAUGUGAAAGCCCGGGGCUCAACCUCGGAAUUGCAUUUGAAACUGGCAGACUAGAGUACUGUAGAGGGGGGUAGAAUUUCAGUGUAGCGGUGAAAUGCGUAGAGAUCUGAAGGAAUACCGGUGGCGAAGGCGGCCCCCUGGACAGAUACUGACACUCAGAUGCGAAAGCGUGGGGGAGCAAACAGAUUAGAUACCCUGGUAGUCCACGCCGUAAACGAUGUCUACUUGGAGGUUGUGGCCCUCAGCCGUGGCGUUCUGAGCUAACGCGUUAAAUAGACCGCCUGGGGGGUACGGUCGCAGGAUUAAAACUCAAAUGAAUUGAACGGGGGGCGCGCACAAGCGGUGGAGCAUGUCGUUUAAUUCAAUGCAACGCCACGAACAUUACCUACUCUGGACAUGCAGAGAACCUAUCAUAUAUGGAUGUGCGUCUUCGGGGACUAUGAAACAGUACUAGCAUGACUGUCGUCAGCUCAUGUCGUGAAGUGUUAGAUUGAGUCCU
rnacentral:rRNA from 1 species